UAUAGUUCUUCGGAAUUAGAGACCGGCGCACGGGUGCGUAACGCGUAUGCAAUCUACCUUUCACAGAGGGAUAGCCCAGAGAAAUUUGGAUUAAUACCUCAUAGUAUAAUAUCUUGGCAUCAAGGAAUCAUUAAAGUCACAACGGUGAAAGAUGAGCAUGCGUCCCAUUAGCUAGUUGGUAAGGUAACGGCUUACCAAGGCAACGAUGGGUAGGGGUCCUGAGAGGGAGAUCCCCCACACUGGUACUGAGACACGGACCAGACUCCUACGGGAGGCAGCAGUGAGGAAUAUUGGACAAUGGGCGCAAGCCUGAUCCAGCCAUGCCGCGUGCAGGAUGACGGUCCUAUGGAUUGUAAACUGCUUUUAUACGAGAAGAAACACCUCUACGUGUAGAGACUUGACGGUAUCGUAAGAAUAAGGAUCGGCUAACUCCGUGCCAGCAGCCGCGGUAAUACGGAGGAUCCAAGCGUUAUCCGGAAUCAUUGGGUUUAAAGGGUCCGUAGGCGGUCAGAUAAGUCAGUGGUGAAAGCCCAUCGCUCAACGGUGGAACGGCCAUUGAUACUGUCUGACUUGAAUUAUUAGGAAGUAACUAGAAUAUGUAGUGUAGCGGUGAAAUGCUUAGAGAUUACAUGGAAUACCAAUUGCGAAGGCAGGUUACUACUAAUGGAUUGACGCUGAUGGACGAAAGCGUGGGUAGCGA
rnacentral:rRNA from 1 species